GCCAAAUGCGGGGGGGUCUAUAAUGCCAGUCGAGCGAAUGGGUUGAGAACUUGCUCUCAAGAAGUUAGCGGCGGAAGGGAGAGUAACACGUGGGUAACCUGCCCAUAAGACUGGGAUAACUCCGGGAAACCGGGGCUAAUACCGGAUAACAUUUUGAACUGCAUGGUUCGAAAUUGAAAGGCGGCUUCGGCUGUCACUCCUCGGAUGGACCCGCGUCGCAUUAGCUAGUUGGUGAGGUAACGGCUCACCAAGGCAACGAUGCGUAGCCCACCUGAGAGGGUGAUCGGCCACACUGGGACUGAGACACGGCCCAAACUCCUACGGGAGGCAGCAGUAGGGAAUCUUCCGCAAUGGACGAAAGUCUGACGGAGCAACGCCGCGUGAGUGAUGAAGGCUUUCGGGUCGUAAAACUCUGUUGUUAGGGAAGAACAAGUGCUAGUUGAAUAAGCUGGCACCUUGACGGUACCUAACCAGAAAGCCACGGCUAACUACGUGCCAGCAGCCGCGGUAAUACGUAGGUGGCAAGCGUUAUCCGGAAUUAUUGGGCGUAAAGCGCGCGCAGGUGGUUUCUUAAGUCUGAUGUGAAAGCCCACGGCUCAACCGUGGAGGGUCAUUGGAAACUGGGAGACUUGAGUGCAGAAGAGGAAAGUGGAAUUCCAUGUGUAGCGGUGAAAUGCGUAGAGAUAUGGAGGAACACCAGUGGCGAAGGCGACUUUUCUGGUCUGUAACUGACACUGAGGCGCGAAAGCGUGGGGAGCAAACAGGAUUAGAUACCCUGGUAGUCCACGCCGUAAACGAUGAGUGCUAAGUGUUAGAGGGUUUCCGCCCUUUUAGUGCUGAAGUUAACGCAUUAAGCACUCCGCCUGGGGAGUACGGCCGCAAGGCUGAAACUCAAAGGAAUUGACGGGGCCCGCACAGCGGUGGAGCAUGUGGUUUAUUCGAAGCACGCGAGAACCUUACCAGUCUGACAUCCUCUGAAACCCUAAAGAUAGGCUUCUCUCGGAGCAAGUGACAGUGUGCAUGUGUCGUCAGCUCUGUCUGAGAAUGUGGGUAGUCCGCACGAGCGCACCCUGAUCUAGUGCAUCAUAGUGGGCACUCUAGGUACUGCGUGACAACGAGGAGGUGGGAUGAAGCUCAUCUCUUUGCCUUUAGACUGGGCUACCGUGUCUCAAUGUGGCGGUCAAAGGGUCAAACCAGUGACCAUAUCCUUGACACCGUCUACUUUCGAAUGAA
rnacentral:rRNA from 1 species